rnacentral:rRNA from 1 species
CCUACGGGAGGCAGCAGUGAGGAAUAUUGGUCAAUGGACGAGAGUCUGAACCAGCCAAGUAGCGUGAAGGAUGACUGCCCUAUGGGUUGUAAACUUCUUUUAUAUGGGAAUAAAAUGUUCCACGUGUGGGAUUUUGUAUGUACCAUAUGCAUAAGGAUCGGCUAACUCCGUGCCAGCAGCCGCGGUAAUACGGAGGAUCCGAGCGUUAUCCGGAUUUAUUGGGUUUAAAGGGAGCGUAGGUGGAUUGUUAAGUCGGUUGUGAAAGUUUGCGGCUCAACCGUAAAAUUGCAGUUGAAACUGGCAGUCUUGAGGACAGUAGAGGUGGGCGGAAUUCGUGGUGUAGCGGUGAAAUGCUUAGAUAUCACGAAGAACUCCGAUUGCGAAGGCAGUUCACUGGACUGCAACUGACACUGAGGCUCGAAAGUGUGGGUAUCAAACAGGAUUAGAUACCCCUGUAGUC